CAGGGAGACAACAAAAUGUUUAAUAUUAUUAUUUUGUCACCUUAGGUCGAUCGGUAUCUCACGUUCUUAAUUUGUUAAGAAUUUCAUUUCCUAAGUUUUUCUAGGUCACACCCAUUAUUUUUCCUGGGCCAUUAGCUCAGGUGGUUAGAGCGCACCCCUGAUAAGGGUGAGGUCCCUGGUUCAAGUCCAGGAUGGCCCAUAUCUCUAUGUUGGGGGUAUAGCUCAGUUGGUAGAGCGCCUGCUUUGCAAGCAGGAUGUCAGCGGUUCGAGUCCGCUUACCUCCACUGAUUACCACCUCUUCCAUAACUGGUAGAAAGGAAAUGUUUUGAGUUGUGAUUAUUAUUCUGAACGAAUCUAGCUUCCUAAUGAAAUCAUUAAGAUGCUGGACUCAUUGAAUUAAUUUCAUUGUUUUCAGAGAACCUUGACAACUGCAUAGAUUUUUUUAAAGACAAUAAGCAUCUUUAAUGAUGCAGAUUUUUAUUUGUGCGAAUGCAUUAAUAACAAUUCUAUUAAGCUGAUGCUUCAAUUUUUGAAGUUAUU
rnacentral:tRNA from 1 species